GAGUCACACACACACAGGAGUCACACACAGUCACACACACAGACAGAGAGUCACACACACACAGAGUCACACACACACAGAGUCACACACACAGUCACACACACAGACAGAGAGUCACACACAGUCACACAUACACAGAGUCACACACAGUCACACACACACACACACACACACACACAGACAGACAGAGACACACAAACAGAGAUAGAGUGAGACAGACACACACUCACUUACCCAUCCAGCGCAGCGCUCCUUCUCUCCGGGCGCUCUGCGAGUGACGUCACGUCCUCCUGCGCGGCCCUGCGGAGUGACGUCGGGCAGGCGCAACAGAAGACGUCGGGGUGCGGGACCGACGUCCGGCUGCCUCCCGACAUACCUUCGUCAAAGUGCUAAACAGUGUUGUGCCUGCCCGCACAACACGUUAAGAAGAGGAAAGGAUUAGCCCUAGGACACCGGGGCUUUGAGGACUGACUGCGAGACAUCUGCCUUUGCAUUUCUGUUCUACAUGCAGAGAGUGGAAGGAAUACAUUACACAGGAGCAGUUCUGAUGGGAUGCCAGGAGCCUGCUCUCCCUUGCAUUAUAACCCUGGAGAUCGUUCAGCAUAGUCCAAUCUUUUUGUUGUGUCAUUUACGUAAUGUGAUGUUCAGUCAUGUAAGCCUAAAACGGUGAAAGGCAUUCAGCUGACACCUGCAGCAAGUGCAAGCAAAAGACGGAACGUUUAUUAAUAAUGGGGAAUAUAAUGAAACCUGAGAUAAGCCGGCACAGUGACUAUAACCUAUGCAUGGUGUUUGCAUUAAGGACCAUGGCAGCAGACUGCAGAGACCUUGGGCAAAGUCUCAGGGAACAAUGAUAAGAAGCAUUUCUGAGCAGUCCAUCCACACUGCAGCUACUGGGGAGGUGUGGUUCUGCAGAUGAAGGAUGCUUCUCCUGGUCACCGAUAUAGCAGCACUAAGAAAACUCUGCACCCUCUACUGUCAAUGGGAUCCGUCGGACCCGGUGGAGUUUGUUCUGCCACAAACCCAUUCAUCACAAAAAAAGGGACCCUUAACAGGACGGAGCACAAUGUUGGAAGUUGUAACCUGAAAAGAACGAUCAUUGAAUUCUGAUCAUAUUCAGCGAUACCUAAUACCUCUUUGUCCGAGGAACUUGCAGCAAUCAACGAUCCCACCACCGGCUGCAAGGUGAAGAGCCGUGUUUCCAUCC